rnacentral:rRNA from 1 species
AUGGCCCGUUCUGCUGUUGCUCAGGUCGUGCUCGUCGCCGUGGUGGCCGCUAUGCUCCUCGCAGUCACGGAGGCGGCUGUAUCGUGCGGUCAGGUGAGCUCUGCCUUGAGCCCCUGCAUCUCCUAUGCACGCGGCAACGGCGCCAGCCCAUCUGCGGCCUGCUGCAGCGGCGUUAGGAGUCUAGCCAGCUCAGCCCGGAGCACCGCUGACAAGCAAGCGGCGUGCAAGUGCAUCAAGAGCGCUGCUGCUGGGCUCAACGCUGGCAAGGCCGCCGGCAUCCCCACAAAGUGCGGCGUUAGCGUCCCCUACGCCAUCAGCUCUUCGGUCGACUGCUCUAAGAUUCGCUGA